UACGUAGGUGACAAGCGUUGUCCGGAUUUACUGGGCGUAAAGAGCGCGCAGGCGGUCGUUCAAGUCGAGUGUGAAAGCCCCCGGCUCAACUGGGGAGGGUCAUUCGAUACUGAUCGACUCGAAGGCAGGAGAGGGUAGUGGAAUUCCCGGUGUAGUGGUGAAAUGCGUAGAUAUCGGGAGGAACACCAGUGGCGAAGGCGGGUCUCUGGGCAACAACUGACGCUGAGGAGCGAAAGCGUGGGGAGCGAACGAGG
rnacentral:rRNA from 1 species